UUACAGGGCGAUUAGAUACGAAGAAAUGCUGGCCUGGCUGGAACACGAUCAAAUAGUUGGCCUGACGUGUGUUUUCAUUUUUUUCUCUACAGAAAACGACGAGAGCGGUCGUGGUAUGCUGGCUGAGGAGCCAUGGCUGCUUCUCUGGCCAUCGCAUAUCAACAGGUGACUCGAUCAACUCUAGGCAGUCUUCAUCGUACAGGCAAUGGAGCACUUGAAUGAGAGCCGAUGCGCUGGCGGUCUGUCAUCCGAGGGAGCUUCCAGGAAUUAUGCCCGGCAGCAGCUGAUCGCUCCGUCACGAGCCUCUCUCUCGGUGGAUAGACGCUUCAUAAUUGAGCUCCUCUCUUUCUCUACACCCAUUCAAUGAUUCAGAAGCCUCUCACUCAAUCUUCGUUUA